rnacentral:lncRNA from 1 species
GUGAUUUUGUUCUCUGUACCUCAGGUUCCUCAGAUGACAAGCAGUGGUAAGAACUAGAACCCAACAGCAGUGAUGUGAAGAUGGAGUGAGUUCACACUUUUAAAGUAUAUACACACGUGCCUGCCUCAGAAGUGAUGGUCAUCAUUCCUUUCAGUGUACUGGCAUGCACAGAGAAAGCUAAUGAUCAAAGAACACUGCCCAAGGACACUGGACGUGCAGCCAGGGAAGAGAUGAGAAGACCCAGGUCCUACUUCCAGCUUACCAGACCCAUCUCAUUACCUGUUUUCUGGACAGUGAGAGACAGGGAGGAAGCAUCUUUGGAACAGACCCUUCCUACUGAAUGCAGGUAACAGGGAUUAGCAGUGCAAGAAGUUUCACAUUAAUAUAUUUCUAAAAAAUUAUUAAGUUA